rnacentral:rRNA from 1 species
AACGCGUAGUCAACCUAACCUAUGGACGGGAAUAACCUCGGGAAACUGAGAAUAAUGCCCGAUAGAACACUAUACCUGGAAUGGUUUGUGUUCCAAAUGAUUUAUCGCCGUAGGAUGGGACUGCGGCCUAUCAGUUUGUUGGUGAGGUAAUGGCCCACCAAGACUAUUACAGGUACGGGCUCUGAGAGGAGUAGCCCGGAGAUGGGUACUGAGACACGGACCCAGGCCCUAUGGGGCGCAGCAGGCGAGAAAACUUUGCAAUGUGCGAAAGCACGACAAGGUUAAUCCGAGUGGUUUGUGCUAAACGAACCUUUUGUCGGUCCUAGAAACACCGAUGAAUAAGGGGUGGGCAAGUUCUGGUGUCAGCCGCCGCGGUAAAACCAGCACCUCAAGUGGUCAGGAUGAUUAUUGGGCCUAAAGCAUCCGUAGCCGGCUCUGUAAGUUUUCGGUUAAAUCUGUACGCUCAACGUACAGGCUGCCGGGAAUACUGCAGAGCUAGGGAGUGGGAGAGGUAGACGGUACUCGGUAGGAAGGGGUAAAAUCCUUUGAUCUAUUGAUGACCACCUGUGGCGAAGGCGGUCUACCAGAGCACGUCCGACGGUGAGGGAUGAAAGCUGGGGGAGCAAACCGGAUUAGAUACCCGGGUAGUCCCAGCUGUAAACUAUGCAAACUCAGUGAUGCAUUGGCUUGUGGCCAAUGCAGUGCUGCAGGGAAGCCGUUAAGUUUGCCGCCUGGGAAGUACGUACGCAAGUAUGAAACUUAAAGGAAUUGGCGGGGGAGCACCACAAGGGGUGAAGCCUGCGGUUCAAUUGGAGUCAACGCCGGA